AACGUAGGAGACAAACGUUAUCCGGAGUUACUGGGCGUAAAGGGCGUGUAGGUGGUAGAGUAAGUCUGGCGUGAAAUUUUUCGGCUUAACCGGGAAAGGUCGUCGGAUACUGCUUAACUAGAGGACGGUAGAGGCGUGUGGAAUUCCGGGUGUAGUGGUGAAAUGCGUAGAGAUCCGGAGGAACACCAGUGGCGAAGGCGACACGCUGGGCCGUACCUGACACUGGAUGCGCGACAGCAGUGGGGAGCAAACGAAGG
rnacentral:rRNA from 1 species